rnacentral:rRNA from 1 species
GAAGUGCUAAUACCGCAUACGUCCUGAGGGAGAAAGCGGGGGAUCUUCGGACCUCGCGCGAUUGGAGUGGCCGAUGUCAGAUUAGCUAGUUGGNGGGGUAAAGGCCUACCAAGGCGACGAUCUGUAGCUGGUCUGAGAGGACGACCAGCCACACUGGGACUGAGACACGGCCCAGACUCCUACGGGAGGCAGCAGUGGGGAAUUUUGGACAAUGGGGGCAACCCUGAUCCAGCCAUUCCGCGUGAGUGAAGAAGGCCUUCGGGUUGUAAAGCUCUUUCGGCAGGAACGAAACGGCGCGCUCUAACAUAGCGCGUUAAUGACNGUACCUGAAGAAGAAGCACCGGCUAACUACGUGCCAGCCGCCGCGGUAAUACGUAGGGNGCCGAGCGUUAAUCNGAAUUACNGGGCCGUAAAGCGUGC